rnacentral:miRNA from 1 species
UUUCUCGUCCGAGCACGGGACU